GGUAAUACCGGAUGCUCCGCUCCAUCGCAUGGUGGGGUGGGAAAUGCUUUUGCGGCAUGGGAUGGGGUCGCGUCCUAUCAGCUUGUUGGCGGGGUGAUGGCCCACCAAGGCGUUGACGGGUAGCCGGCCUGAGAGGGUGACCGGCCACAUUGGGACUGAGAUACGGCCCAGACUCCUACGGGAGGCAGCAGUGGGGAAUAUUGCACAAUGGGCGCAAGCCUGAUGCAGCGACGCCGCGUGCGGGAUGGAGGCCUUCGGGUUGUAAACCGCUUUUGUUCAAGGGCAAGGCACGGUUUCGGCCGUGUUGAGUGGAUUGUUCGAAUAAGCACCGGCUAACUACGUGCCAGCAGCCGCGGUAAUACGUAGGGUGCGAGCGUUAUCCGGAUUUAUUGGGCGUAAAGGGCUCGUAGGCGGUUCGUCGCGUCCGGUGUGAAAGUCCAUCGCCUAACGGUGGAUCUGCGCCGGGUACGGGCGGGCUGGAGUGCGGUAGGGGAGACUGGAAUUCCCGGUGUAACGGUGGAAUGUGUAGAUAUCGGAAAGAGAAC
rnacentral:rRNA from 1 species